AUGGCUGCUGACAACAAGAUGCAUUUCCUGAAGCUGGAGGAGGAGGUGGUGAUCCCGACUACGUUCAAAUGUGCCAUUACUUAUGACUUGCUCUUCAAACCGGUGGUCUUGGUUUGUGGACACACCUUCUCGUUCUGGAGUAUUGCUGAGCAUAUGAGCAUCUUAGUUGACACUCUAUGCCCCUUGUGCAAGACGCAGUUUGCACAUUUUCCAAAAAUAUGUGAGACUUAUCAUACUUUGGUUAAGAAAUUGAAACCAGCGGAGUAUGCAAGAGUUGAAGCGGAAUUUUUAGAACAAGAGAGAAGCUUGGGGAGAUCAUCUCCACCAGUUGAUGUUGGUUUGCAGGAUGAGCUUUGUUUUGAGUGUAACAAGCUACUAUACAAGCCAUCAGUCUUAAAUUGUGGACACGUUUGUUGCAAAAGCUGCUUGCCAUCUAGUGAUGGGCUAUUGGCAUGCAAGCGUUGCGGAAGUGUUCAUCCAGGGAAGUUUCCCUCUGUGUGCAUUUCUCUGGAUGAGAUCAUCCAAGAGUUCUUCCCGCGGGAGUACGCUGCAAGGGCUGAGGCUGUUGGACUAAGUUUUGAGCCUUUAUCAUCGGGUAGUUCGCUCAACAAUGAUAGCAGAAGCAUGCCUCACAGGGUUGGCAAUGUGCACCUUGGUGUUGGAUGUGACAAUUGUGGAGCAGAACCGAUUCGAGGUAACAGGUAUAGCUGCAUGGACUGUGCGGUGGGUUACGAUCUUUGUGAAGACUGCCAUUCAAAGGGGUCAACAUGCGGGGGGCGAUUUAACCAGCAACACCUGCCUGGCCAUAGAAUGGAAGCUAACAAUACACUGCUCCUGAAAAAUGUUAUGGACUACAACAGUAUCACAGAUAAUGAGCUAUGGAACGACAAUGAGCAGCCUCAGCCAGGGGGUGAGGAGCAUGAUGAGGAUAAUGGGGUGGAGGAAUAUGCGGAAGAUGAGGAAUAUGAGGAAGAUGAGGAGGAUGUUGAGGAUGUCGAUGAGGAACGUACAACCUGCAGAAUUGUGUAA
rnacentral:rRNA from 1 species